rnacentral:rRNA from 1 species
CAGUAGCCGCGGGAACACGGAGGAUCCAAGCGUUAUCCGGAAUCAUUGGGUUUAAAGGGUCCGUAGGCGGUCUUGUAAGUCAGUGGUGAAAGCCCAUCGCUCAACGGUGGAACGGCCAUUGAUACUGCAGGACUUGAAUUAUUGGGAAGUAACUAGAAUAUGUAGUGUAGCGGUGAAAUGCUUAGAGAUUACAUGGAAUACCAAUUGCGAAGGCAGGUUACUACCAAUUGAUUGACGCUGAUGGACGAAAGCGUGGGUAGCGAACAGGAUUAGAUACCCGUGUAGUCCCUGUCUCUUAUAC